rnacentral:rRNA from 1 species
UACGAAGGGGGCUAGCGUUGCUCGGAAUUACUGGGCGUAAAGCGCACGUAGGCGGAUUGUUAAGUCGGGGGUGAAAUCCUGGAGCUCAACUCCAGAACUGCCUUCGAUACUGGCGAUCUCGAGUUCGGGAGAGGUGAGUGGAACUGCGAGUGUAGAGGUGAAAUUCGUAGAUAUUCGCAAGAACACCAGUGGCGAAGGCGGCUCACUGGCCCGAUACUGACGCUGAGGUGCGAAAGCGUGGGUAGCAAACAGG